GGUUUACAAUGACAGCACUUCAUAAUUCUUGAUGGUCAGCGGGCCCAGGUUGCGGAUAAGGGGUCAUCUAACCUGGAACUAUUGGUUGAUCGGUCCACAGUGGCCUUACACCGUACUAUUACACCUCUCUAUUGUUCUGCUCAUUGGGGCAACUGCAGGAAGAGAAGUGGAGCUGCUCCAUGGUGCAAAGAUAACCAGGAUCAUCAGCCUAACAUCAACACUUACCAACAAUUGUACAACGCCGAUUUUAUCUGUGGAUGAGCAGUUUAUGCUUUGAUUUUCAUGUUUGGGCUGCAUUUUUUUACUAUUUACUAAGCAAAAAAACCUUUUUUGGCAUGAAAAUACUAAUACUACUUUUUCACAGGGAAAAGAAUUCCCGUUAGCAUGUGAUGAAAUGUCUUAAUAAUCAGCUGCAAUGUGUGUUAGAAAUAAUUUUCUUUUUUUGUGCAGUUAAAGAGUGAAAUGAUUGUAUAGCCAGACAAUAUUAGGCAAGUUUGCCAGGGAACGGAAUAUUAUUAUCAUGCUUUUGGACAGUGGGAGAAAUGACUCACGCUAACACUUAUUUUACCAGUAGAGGCACAGUUUAGAUGAAAUUGCUGUGUCCCUGCAGGAUUUUACAGCAGUGUAGAACAUUAAGGAAAGUGAAUGCAAAAACCAUUUGAUUAAUGCCUAGAAACGAGUCCUUGCAUACAGAAAAUGUAAAGUUUGGUGAUAACUUUUAUUUGCAUUUUCUGCAUUUUUUCAAUGGCUUACACGGUACAACAGCUUAAUCCUUUCAUACAGAAAGGCUCGAGAUUGCUAAAGAUUUUCUGUGUGGAGGGUCCCUUCUCCUUCACAACUCUCAUUGACAUGGCCAUUCCUUUUUGUAAUGGGAAGGUAGAUGUAACGUGUUUCCACUGUCACAUUGUGCCAAAUGCCAUCUGCAGAGGAAGUAAAUCUGCCAGGUCUCACUAACUGCUGGUUCUAUAUCAGUGAAAGUGCCGUUGUAUUCCUGCACUUACAUAAGGACACCCAUAUGGCAACACUGAUUGUUGUAUGACACUGCUGUGCAUAGAUUAUUCCUUGAUGCAUCAGCCUACAAGAAGACACCUGAAUGUUAGAACAGGGAAGCAUCACUUUUGUCGCUCAGACUUGUUUACACCAGUUUGUUGACUGCUCCAUAGAAUUUUCUCUUUCCAGACUUCAGUAUGGCCUUAACUGUUCCUCAUCUUAUCAGUUUGCUAGAUCAAGGAAUUUUAUUUUGUAAGGUAUUAAAUCAUGUGUUGAAUGUGUGUGAGCUGCACAUACAGACAGUAGCUUGGCUCUAUCCAGUGUCGGGUUUUCUCACUACACACGCACGUGCCGAGAUGUAUGCUGUCCUGGAAUAACCCUGUAUAUGAGACCGAGUGCCAAGGAUUUAGUUUGGAUUGGAAUAUUCCUCCCAAUGCCAUAUUUUACCACAUCUUUAUCCUAAGCCUUUUUCUAUUGUAAGGGCCAGUUUGUUACUCACGUAGAAGCUCACAUUGGAGGCAGACAAUACCUAGAAGAAAUAUGAUACUGCUAGUACCACAUGGAGACAUUGCUUGCAAAUGCUUCCUAACUCCUCUGUGAAGUGAGAGGGUUAAGCCAUUUGGCAGUAGGAUUCUCAAAUCUUUCCAGCAUGAUGUGGAGAAAAUGUUUUUUGUGCCCAGUUCACUUUAAUAAAAUAUCAUAUUCGUUUAUGCCUCUGAAAUAUGGACGCCGGGUAUAAAAUAUUUUUUUCUCUUGGUAACAAGAGAAGUAGUUCAGGUUUUUGGAAGUGAUGAUUGUCUGAUGAACAAAGUAAUUUAGCAGAUGAGACACAUAUCUAUCACCCUGCACCCAAAUAAUUCCUACCUACCUUGUAGAUCAGGGCUUCUUAACCUUUCUGCAAUGGGACUUAGAUUAAGUCUGUGAUUACACCAUGGCAGUAGACCAUUUAUUCUUCUUCCAUACUAAAAGACAAAAAAUCAUCUAGGUAUGGUGAUGAUAAGAUCUUCCUAAAUAAAACAUUCCCUUUAAGUUGUGCACGCAAGUACUAAUAUUAUAUGUCAUUUAUGUAAUUCAACCUUUGUUGAAUUUUGUUUUGUCCAUUUCUUUCCUUUAAAGGGGAUGUUCAACUUUGCAUUACUUUUAGUAUGAUGUAGAGAGUGAUAUUCUGAUGUCAUUUAGCAGUCUGGUUGCUAGGGUCCAAAUUACCCUGAUUUGAAUAAGAGACUGGAAUAUGAAUUGAGAGCUCCUCGUUCCCAUCAAGUAACCUUGUACUUGUUCCUGUUUGUUAUUUACAUUAUUUAUCCCACUAUUUCCUUCCAUCCUGCUUUCAUAAUUCCUGCAUUAAGCUUCUAGACUUAGCUUUUCUCCUCACUGAGCAGGAAUCCAUAGCUGGACCUGAGCUUGGAA